rnacentral:rRNA from 1 species
GAUGAACGCUGGCGGCGUGCCUAAUACAUGCAAGUCGAGCGAACAGACGAGGAGCUUGCUCCUCUGACGUUAGCGGCGGACGGGUGAGUAACACAUGGAUAACCUACCUAUAAGACUGGGAUAACUUCGGGAAACCGGAGCUAAUACCGGAUAAUAUAUUGAACCGCAUGGUUCAAUAGUGAAAGACGGUUUUGCUGUCACUUAUAGAUGGAUCCGCGCCGCAUUAGCUAGUUGGUAAGGUAACGGCUUACCAAGGCAACGAUGCGUAGCCGACCUGAGAGGGUGAUCGGCCACACUGGAACUGAGACACGGUCCAGACUCCUACGGGAGGCAGCAGUAGGGAAUCUUCCGCAAAGGGCGAAAGCUUGACGGAGCAACGCCGCGUGAGUGAUGAAGGUCUUCGGAUCGUAAAACUCUGUUAUUAGGGAAGAACAAAUGUGUAAGUAACUAUGCACGUCUUGACGGUACCUAAUCAGAAAGCCACGGCUAACUACGUG